rnacentral:rRNA from 1 species
UACGAAGGGGACUAGCGUUGUUCGGAAUCACUGGGCGUAAAGCGCACGUAGGCGGAUGUGUCAGUCAGGGGUGAAAUCCCGGGGCUCACCUCGGAACUGCCUUUGAUACAGCACGUCUCGAGUCCGGAAGAGGUGGGUGGAAUUCCUAGUGUAGAGGUGAAAUUCGUAGAUAUUCGCAAGAACACCAGUGGCGAAGGCGGCUCACUGGCCCGGUACUGACGCUGAGGUGCGAAAGCGUGGGGAGCAAACAGG